UACGUAGGGGGCAAGCGUUGUCCGGAUUUAUUGGGCGUAAAGAGCGUGUAGGCGGCCAGGUAGGUCUGCUGUGAAAACUCGAGGCUCAACCUCGAGACGUCGGCGGAAACCAUCUGGCUAGAGUCCGGAAGAGGAGAGUGGAAUUCCUGGUGUAGCGGUGAAAUGUGUAGAGAUCGGGAGGAACACCGGUGGCGAAGGCGGUCUUCUGGACGGUGACUGACGCUGAGGCGCGAAAGCGUGGGGAGCAAACGGG
rnacentral:rRNA from 1 species